UAUAAACUGUAUCUCCCAGUGAUCGUUCCAUUGGCCGCCGGUAGCCGAGUCCCUGGGCAGAAAUGCGCUUCCUUUACCUCCUGGUGUCCCUUCUGUGGCUCUUCCCCUGGGCUCCCACGUUGGCCGAUGGAAACCCUGAGACUGGACUUUGUGCCAGAAUUGGGGGGGUUUGUCGCCCCCAGUGUCCCCGGGCGAUGAUGAUGAUGGGCAGAUUGAGUUGCCGUACUAUGUGGUGUUGUGGGAGAGUUUACUGAAGAAGCUGAAUAUUGGAAAUAUAACAACGUCUGUGGGUGAAUCUGAAAGGAAUCAGAAUAAAAUCAGAGUAAAGGAAACAAUAAUAAAAGUCACACUGACUACUAA